ACCACCUUCGGCCCCACCAUCACCAUCAUCGUCAUCGUCAUUCGGGUUCUUUCGGAGAAGUAAGCCAUCAUCCGAUCGGAGGCAACCACCACCACCAUCACCACGAUCAGAUAGAAGGCAACCACAAUCUCCGCGGUCUUACUCCUCUCACCGGUCCAUAUACUAAACCUAGCCGACCCGAGUACACCUGAAGGAUCGAACUCGAUACCUAGACCCAGAGGAUUA
rnacentral:misc_RNA from 1 species